UAUCCCCUCAGAGGGCUAGGGAGCACAGAUGUGCCCAGGGUCGCACAGGUUUCUCGGUCCAGCCCAUCCUCCUGUGCUCCUGGGUCCUAUGCAGAGCAAACGGCUGCUGGUUAAGACCCCCGGGGGAGCAGGGAGCAGGGGCUGCGGUUGGCGAUGUCUGAGGUCUGCGGCUUUGCAGGGCAGAGACUGGAGUGGGGCCUGCUCGACAGGGAGAUUCCCAAGCGGGACCAGGGCAUCUGGAAUCACUUGGUACAGCCUAUUCAGAACCUUGUCCAUAGUGCUCUGGCGGGUGGGGGCAGUUGGUGAUCAGCUUCCCUGUUCUUAUUUUAUGAGACCCCGGGAGAGUUGGGGCAGAUGUUGAUGAUGGUGUUAUAGUAGGAUGACCACGGUGGUUCUCAUGAUGAUGACGGCAUUGAUGGUGUGGAUGGUGGUGUUGAUGGUCGCCCCCAAGUCCCCUACCCACACAUCUUUGUCACACCAGUGAGGGAUCCCGGUCCCUCGCAAGCCUGCCCUCACACUCUGUGCUCACUCCUCCACCGAGCUUCUGAGGACUGUGCAUGAAUGCAUCACUUCAUUUGAGGGGGUCACAAUUUAUUCACCGACUUAAGGUGUUGCAACCAAGGCAAAGCUCAGAAAUCAGCCCAGCCACUCUCUCAUUUUCGCAGCGAGGGACAGGCUUGACCUGGUCACACAGCCAAGUGGGGCCCCCACAAGGACAGCACUGCGACCCCAGCCAGCACCAUCCCCAGUGUUUCUGCUGCUGCAGCAGCUGGGGUGGGCCAAGGGGACACGAGCCCCCUCACGGUGCGUUUCUCAGAGGCCAGGGGAGCAGGAGGAGAGGGUGCCAACCUCAGGCCAGAGGUCAGUCUCUGGGGGUAACAACGUUCUGUAUGUAAGUGAUGCCUCCGUGAAGACCCUCUCCUGGAUGGGCGUUCUCCCCGGAGCCCCAGGACAGAAGGGCAACCUGGCCCAGGACGAUGUGCUCCUGGGGAGGCGAGAGCUGAAGGGUCAGGGAGACCCCGUCCUGCAGGAGACGGGAGCUGUGGACGUCAAACCACGGCUGUGUGCCGACGGUGUGCCCUGGGCCAGCGCCCUGGGCCCGGCCUCACGGCUCCCUCAGGUGAGCAGCGGGGCCAGGGCUGAGAACAGAGCAAUCCCUGCUUCGGGAGGGCCUGGGGGACCGGGGGGGCAGGUGCCAGAGGGCAUUUGUCGUGAGGACUCAGAGCAAGAAUGGACAGAGGAGAGGGCCGGUGUCAGGGAUACCCAGGGGACAGUGAAGCUGGAGAGGGUGGCCUGUGGCUGGCGGGGAGGGGACAGAGCAAAGGAGACAGACGUGGUAGGCCGGAUGGAAAGCACACAGGAGGCAUCUGGGGUAACACGGAUUCUGAGUUUGUGGCACGAAGCAAGCAGGGGAGGAGCUGGGAGGAGGAGCGGGCUUGAGGCGGGGUGGGGCAUAAUGAACUCGGCUUUGGAGCCAGCUGGGAUGGGAGCAAUUAAUCCACACAGAGAGGGAGGGCGCCCGCUUCGCUGGCUCAGUACUGCGCUGCUAACUCUGAACGUCCCCCUAAUCGGCUUAGAGAUUUAUGCAAAUCCGGGUGUGCAGGAGCCCUGAUUGGGUUGCGGAGGAAUUGUCCGGGCCCCCCACGCUCAGCUUCUCCUCAGCACCCUGGCUCUGAGCUCCUGCUCCCUGAUGACAUCCCCCAGCUAGAAUGGGGGUUUUAAACAUAAUUACGGCUAGAACCAAAGGGGAUUUCCACGGGAAAAGGUGCACAGGCCCAGAGGCCAGGCCACCCUGGGCCAGAGCGAGAGGCAGGGGUUGUUCUCGGAGCGAGGGACACGGGUAAAGCAGGGAGGUCGAGAGCCCCGGCCCGCCGCUGAGACUGAGCCCUGACCCCAAGCACACACUGAGCCCAAGCCCCAGAAUCCUUGCCACAGACUGGGCCCUGGUCAUGACCACACGUGGACCCCUGACCCCAGUCACUCUCUGAGCCCUGACUCUAGUCCCAUGCUGAACCUUGUCCCUGGCCGCAUGCUGAGCCCUGACCUUGAUCACACACUAAGCUCUGGUCCUCCAAAACAAGAAUGUUGUCACGGAAGCCACCGUCCCCCCUGGUCUGGGCAUCUUGUGGUCCUCUGGUUUUGUGCUGCUUAUGAGUGGGAGGUCAUACCGCCAUUCGAAUGGAUGAGUCCGGGUGUCUCCGAUCUAGACAGUAAGCCAGGAGGACCAGGCUCCGUGUUCACCCUGCUCACAGGACCUCCCAAGGGUCUGGCGCCCGUUCAAUACAAGUUUGUGGAGGGAACGAAUGCACGAAUGGAUCGAUCAAAUCCAAGACUGGAUUCUUUUGGUAACGAGGAAGCUUUGUCGGAUGAGAGAGGAAGUAAAUGCUCUCCUUGAGCAUCCAGAACAUAGAGGUCGGCAUCUUCCUGCGUAGACGCCCCCCAGAGUGCUCACCCGUCCUCCACUCUCAGGCACUGCAUGGCGUCCAGGUACCCGUUCCGGUGACUUCUGUCUCCUGUGCACACGAGUGUUUUCACCUUCCUUGCUGUUGCACAGGCUGAUGCCUGGACACAUAACCACGGGAUGCCAGGCAUGGGAUAUUAGGGCCAGCGACAUGGGCCGCUGGGUCACCAGCUCAUAGGACAGUGGGGCCGUUGAGUCUGGAAUCUACAGGGCUGGGUGGCAGGCUGGAAACUCAGGUAGGGUUUCUGUGACAGCCUUGAGAUCAAGUUCCUUCUCCAGGAGACUUCCCUUCUGUUCUUAGGGCCAUCUCCUGAUUAGAUGAGGCCCACCACGUCAUGGAGGGCAAUCUGCUUUACUGAAAUCCACCCCUUGUGGAUCUAUUCUUACCUAGAGAACGUCUUCACAGCAAUGUUGAGACCGGUAUUCAACCAAAGGUCUGGGCCCCGCAGUCCAGGCCAGUUCACACAGCAGUGACCGCUGCAGUCACUUUGAGGGGCAUUUAUUAGCAGCCUACACACACACAGAUGUUAGUCUUGACUUAUCCUCGCCCGAGCUGAGUGUCAGGAAUUUACCACUUUAAUAUUGGUAGCAACAUCUUACGUAAAAGCGCAUGCCUUUGGUUAGUAGAGAAUCUGAGCUUCUUUGCACAUAUUUCUAGUUCAUGAGACAUUUGAAAGAGCCCAGCAGGGUGGGACUGCCACGGGGUCUGUGGACUCGAGAGAAGGAGGCUGUAGGAGGGACAGGCAGACACGGCUGCGGGUGGCACCCUCCAGUGUGUGUGACGGUGCGGGGACCCGAGGAUGCGGUCAGAGCGCGGGCGGUGUCUGCCCAUCACCCUUCCGGGUCCAGCACGACCCUGGGGGCCCAGCAGCCCUGCACUUCUGUGAAGUCCAGACCACUUAGGAGCCAGCUCCGAGCUCUGGUCUUGCCGGGCUGGUGGGGGCAGAGAGACGCAUGGGGCCCAGUGCCAACCGUGGGCUCCAUAAACUGGCCUCGCUUUUGCUGUUUCAUUGUUGCUGCUUCCGAGGAGGGAUGGGACAGCUGCCCAGUGCCCAGCACGUAGUGGGGGCUCGGUUCCCUCUCCCUUCCCCUUCGUGUCACAGCUCAAUUUGCUGUUAGGCCGGUUGAAGGAAUUGGGUCAGUUCCUAUAAUAUCUUCUCCCUGAUUCCGAUCAUUCAGGCAAUUGCGACAUCAUUAACCCAGAUCAUCACAUUCUUUGAUCAGCUGCCGAGAAUAGUGACACUCCAGGCAUUCAGCAGGGAGCCCGGCCACAAAGUGACAGUGAUCUGGCAUUUGCCAAAAGCCCACUGGAGACACUUGGCAUUUGAGGGACAGACGGUCCAAGGCACGUGCCGACUCCACAUUUGUCCGGGUCGCUCUGUUUUCCGUAUUUGCGUUCGCCCUGAAAUCAGCCUCCUGGUUCCUGUGCCUGGUCCAGAUCACUGUGUGCACAUGCACGUGUGAAUGUGUGCAUGCGUGUGUGCAAGUGUGUGUGUGAGAGAGAGACAGAGAGACAGAGAGAAAAAAUGUUUUAGCUCCUUUAAAUAACAAUAAGCUUCUCGUGGAGCAACAGGACAGGUUCCAGAAGCCACGGGAGUCCCUGCGGUAGGCUCUGUCAUCGACACGACGUGGGACCUCGGAGAGUCCUUGGCACGUCCGUGCUCCGGUGCUCUCUUCCGGAAAGUGGGCUCCAGGGCUUCGUGUGCAGGGUGUUGUCGGGACAAGAUCCAGCGCGAUGAAGGCGCUCGGCAGAGAGCAGGUGUUCCAAACCCAUUCGCUGUGGUCUUUCUUGUCUGCCCUUCGUUUCUCUUCACGAUUUCGCGUAUUCGCAAUUCCGCACGUCGCCCGUGCGCAACUCGAAGCUUCUGGAUGGCGCUCCAGACGCGGUGGCCUCGGCCUCACUCCCGCUCUCGGGGUCCCUGCCCGAGUGCUGACGGACUCCCGCCAUUAGAAGUGAGCGUCUGUGUCCUCGUAUUGGUACGCUUGGCACCGUGCGGCUCCCUCCCGCGGACCCCGGGCUGGCCCGUUUCUGUCGGAACCGCUGCUGGCGCCCCAGAAAAGCCGGGCGGGGCGCACGUGGGUUCCUGCUGACCUGUGUGGUUCUGGCUGCGCUGCAGGUGGCCCCUGCCCGCACCCCCAGGACGCUCGUGGGGGCUCUUCUAGGGCUGGCGCUGAGCUGUGUUGCCAGGGCCCCACGGGCCCACGGCCGGUGUGGCAGCUGCCGCCAGCCUGCCCCCCGACGUCCUCAUCACCAUUCCCGUUGCCCCGAGAGUGACGCCGGGUUCGUCGAGAGUAUCACUGCCCCACAACACCCACCUGGCAUCCAGCAAGUAUUUGCAGAAUGAGCGACGGAACGAAGAGAUGGGCGACUGAACGGCUUCGCCUUUCUUUCCACGGUGGCGCGGUCGACACCCACGUGGCCUAAGACGUAUCCCCGCACGCGUCCACGCUGCCCAGCAGGGCCGGCCCGGUGACGACGCGGAUCUGAAGAAAGGAGGGCUUAUGUUGCACACUUGAAACUCAGCAGACAUUGUGCAUUCAUUCUGUUUCAAUUAAAAAAUCAUGAAGACCCUUA